rnacentral:rRNA from 1 species
GUAGGUGGCAAGCGUUGUCCGGAAUUAUUGGGCGUAAAGCGCGCGCAGGCGGCUCUUUAAGUCUGAUGUGAAAGCCCACGGCUCAACCGUGGAGGGUCAUUGGAAACUGGAGAACCUGAGUACAGAAGAGGAAAGCGGAAUUCCACGUGUAGCGGUGAAAUGCGUAGAGAUGUGGAGGAACACCAGUGGCGAAGGCGGCUUUCUGGUCUGUAACUGACGCUGAGGCGCGAAAGCGUGGGGGAGCAAACAGGAUUAGAUACCCUGGUAGUCCACGCCGUAAACGAUGAGUGCUAAGUGUUAGGGGGUUUCCGCCCCUUAGUGCUGCAGCUAACGCAUUAAGCACUCCGCCCUGGGAGUACGGCCGCAAGGCUG